rnacentral:rRNA from 1 species
GAUGAACGCUAGCGGCAGGCCUAAUACAUGCAAGUCGAGGGAGAAUGUUGGAUUCGUCUGACAUGAAACCGGCGCACGGGUGCGUAACACGUAUGCAACCUACCUUUAACUGGGGUAUAGCUCAGAGAAAUCUGAAUUAAUCCCCCAUAAGACUACGACAUGGCAUCAUGGUGUAGUUACAGCCACGGCGGUUAAGGAUGGGCAUGCGGUACAUUGGUUAGUUGGUGAGGUAAUGGCUCACCAAGGCUACGAUGUAUAGGGGGUCUGAGAGGAUGAUCCCCCACACUGGUACUGAGACAAGGACCAGACUCCUACGGGAGGCAGCAGUAGGGAAUAUUGGUCAAUGGACGCAAGUCUGAACCAGCCAUGCCGCGUGAAGGAUGAAGGCCCUAUGGGUCGUAAACUUCUUUUAUUAGGGAAGAAAAAACGGGAUGCGUCCUGUACUGACGGUACUUAAUGAAUAAGGAUCGGCUAACUUCGUGCCAGCAGCCGCAGUAA